UUUUGAAGUUCAUGUCUGUUUAUGCUACUGAAUUGAUCGGGAAAUUCAAAGAGCCAUCUCUAAAACUAAUAAAGAAAAUCAUCAGCAAUAUGCCACCAAAGUACAUAAUACACUUACAGAAACAAUUCAACUCUUGUGUGAGCAAAUACCACACAAUAAUCGGAGAGCCGGACAUUCUGAUAUCUUUCAAAGAUUGGUACAAAAGAUACGACAUCAAAACCAAAACGGAAAAUAUAAAUAAAGAUAACAUUCACAAAGAAUAUUCUUUAGACAUAAAAGCCUUAAAAAUAUACUCAGAAUUGUUGAAAAUACCAGCGUAUAUAUGCGAUGAUUCAAUUUUGAAUCUAUGCGAUACGGUUUUGGACAUAUACACCGAAAAUGGAGAGAAAUACAUAGAUAUAUACAAGGAAUACCUGUCAGAUAUGUUGAAUGUAUCUUUAAGACUUAAAAUAUUUGACGAAAUAACGCAGCAUAUUGUCAAAAGUCACAACAAAAUUGGUUUGAAGUUUAUAAAGUAUUUUAUAGAUGUGUAUUCUGUGUAUUUUAUAAAGAAACCGUAUAUUUUGAUGGGGACUAGUAAUGAAAUAUCGGCAGUUUUGGGAGAUGUAUUGAAAAGUUGUUUGAAAAAGAAAAUGACUGUUGAAGACAGUGUUAAAGUGUUGGAGCUUAUUGAUACGAUAUGGCCCGUAUACCAAGCGCAGUCCACCUUCGAGGACAAAUGUUCGCUACUGUCCCACACAACCCGGCUGCCGGUGCGACUGGCCUGGGACACUGUCCCGAUUCAGUGGGUGUCCCGGGCGAUUGUGGGAGCGGGAGGAGAGAGGCUGGUUGGGACGCUGCCGGGCGGGGACGA